UGCUUCUUGACAAGACUCGAUUAUUCUGUGGGCUCUAUACACCAAGAUGCCUGAGGGGGAGAAACGUAAUUUAAACUACAGAACAGGUGUGAGGGUAAAUCUGGCCCCCAUUCCUCCAUCUUGGCUGGAAGUGGAAGUCCCAGUGGAUAUUUUUGAGCCCCUGAUGUAUGCCAGGCACUGCUGUAAGCACUGAGUAUUCAAAGAUGAACAAAAUGAUGUGGCCCCAGUCUCCUAAAAGAAGAAGACAACAAGUAAAUAAAUACACAAAAUUAUUAUAGAUGGUCAUGCAUGCUAAGAAGUAACCAUGGACCAACAUGAGAAUGAUGGGGACAGGAGUUGCUGCACACUAACAGGUGAGGUAAAGUCUGAAGAAGCAGCCAGUCAUAUGAGGAGGAGGAGGACAAGCAUCCCAGUCAUGGAGAACAACUGUGCAAAGAACGUGGAAAGCUUGGCAUGCUCUAGGCACAGAUGGAAGUGAAGCAUCUGUUGAAAUGGAGGUGCCACAGAUGGAAGCAACCAUGGCACGGAGGGCAGCUUCCCCAGAAAACUGCCCAGACUCACAGAGUUCUUUGUGGGAGGAAGGAAUAAACCCAUGUAAAGCUCCCGA